rnacentral:rRNA from 1 species
AGAGUUUGAUCCUGGCUCAGGACGAACGCUGGCGGCGCGCCUAACACAUGCAAGUCGAACGAGCGAGAGAGAGCUUGCUUUCUCGAGCGAGUGGCGAACGGGUGAGUAACGCGUGAGGAACCUGCCUCAAAGAGGGGGACAACAGUUGGAAACGACUGCUAAUACCGCAUAAGCCCACAGCUCGGCAUCGAGCAGAGGGAAAAGGAGCAAUCCGCUUUGAGAUGGCCUCGCGUCCGAUUAGCUAGUUGGUGAGGUAAUGGCCCACCAAGGCGACGAUCGGUAGCCGGACUGAGAGGUUGAACGGCCACAUUGGGACUGAGACACGGCCCAGACUCCUACGGGAGGCAGCAGUGGGGAAUAUUGCACAAUGGGGGAAACCCUGAUGCAGCGACGCCGCGUGGAGGAAGAAGGUCUUCGGAUUGUAAACUCCUGUUGUUGAGGAAGAUAAUGACGGUACUCAACAAGGAAGUGACGGCUAACUACGUGCCAGCAGCCGCGGUAAAACGUAGGUCACAAGCGUUGUCCGGAAUUACUGGGUGUAAGGGGAGCGCAGGCGGGAAGACAAGUUGGAAGUGAAAUCUAUGGGCUCAACCCAUAAACUGCUUUCAAAACUGUUUUUCUUGAGUAGUGCAGAGGUAGGCGGAAUUCCCGGUGUAGCGGUGGAAUGCGUAGAUAUCGGGAGGAACACCAGUGGCGAAGGCGGGCUACUGGGCACCAACUGACGCUGAGGCUCGAAAGUGUGGGUAGCAAACAGGAUUAGAUACCCUGGUAGUCCACACCGUAAACGAUGAUUACUAGGUGUUGGAGGAUUGACCCCUUCAGUGCCGCAGUUAACACAAUAAGUAAUCCACCUGGGGAGUACGACCGCAAGGUUGAAACUCAAAGGAAUUGACGGGGGCCCGCACAAGCAGUGGAGUAUGUGGUUUAAUUCGACGCAACGCGAAGAACCUUACCAAGUCUUGACAUCCCUUGACGAACAUAGAAAUAUGUUUUCUCUUCGGAGCAAGGAGACAGGUGGUGCAUGGUUGUCGUCAGCUCGUGUCGUGAGAUGUUGGGUUAAGUCCCGCAACGAGCGCAACCCUUACUGUCAGUUACUACGCAAGAGGACUCUGGCAGGACUGCCGUUGACAAAACGGAGGAAGGUGGGGAUGACGUCAAAUCAUCAUGCCCUUUAUGACUUGGGCUACACACGUACUACAAUGGCGUUAAACAAAGAGAAGCAAGACCGCGAGGUGGAGCAAAACUCAGAAACAACGUCCCACUUCGGACUGCAGGCUGCAACUCGCCUGCACGAAGUCGGAAUUGCUAGUAAUCGUGGAUCAGCAUGCCACGGUGAAUACGUUCCCGGGCCCUUGUACACACCGCCCGUC